rnacentral:rRNA from 1 species
ACGUUAGCGGCGGACGGGUGAGUAACACGUGGGUAACCUACCUAUAAGACUGGGAUAACUUCGGGAAACCGGAGCUAAUACCGGAUAAUAUUUCGAACCGCAUGGUUCGAUAGUGAAAGAUGGUUUUGCUAUCACUUAUAGAUGGACCCGCGCCGUAUUAGCUAGUUGGUAAGGUAACGGCUUACCAAGGCGACGAUACGUAGCCGACCUGAGAGGGUGAUGGCCACACUGGAACUGAGACACGGUCCAGACUCCUACGGGAGGCAGCAGUC